GGGUGGGAUUGGGAUUAAGAAAUGAGCAGUGAUGGUACAAUUGGCUGUUUUCUCUGGAAUAUUAUGGGAAGAGCUGCAGGAGUGUAAGGUGUAUGUUCCAGUCCCCACCAUUUGGUUUGCACAUGUCCUGCUCAGACACAGGUCCAACUUCCUCAGUCCUUAACCCAAGAGAGGGAGAAUUAAGGACUGGCAGUAUUAAGGUGAUUGGUGUGACAGGGGUUAAACUGGGAAAACAUUGGGUGAUUGCUCAGUUUGUCUGUUUGCCAAACUCACCCAAACCUCUGCUCGGAAGAGAUGGAGUGGAAAAACUGAGGCAGAAAUGGAAUUGAAAACUGUGGAUAUUGAAACUGUAAUUGCUGAAACUAAAUGUGUCCAAGCAGCAGCUCUUGUUGUGCAGGGAAUAACUCCUGUCAGCAGCAAGGUCCCGACUGAAGUGGCAGCUGCAGUGGAAUUGCAGGAGAGUGGAAGAGGGCAGAACCUGUAGGUAUUACCCCUAAUGUGGGAUCUCUCCUGAAUGUGAGUGCAAGAACCUGCCAAGAAAACCAAUGGCCAAGGGGAUUGAUGAGUGCAGGACCUGAGAGAACCCCUGAGAAAAUCUGGAAAGCAGG